GUGCUUACUUGGGCAGCACAUAUACUAAAAUUGGAAUGAUAUAGAGAAGAUUAGAAUGGUCACUGCACAAGGAUGACAUGCAAAAUUGUGAAGCAUUCCAUAUAGGA
rnacentral:snRNA from 1 species